ensembl:lncRNA
GGCACACAGCAACGGCCGGAGUGCUAAGGGCUGCACUCAGUCAUACUCUAUCACACUAUUGUAAUAGAGUGCAGCCGAGUGCAGCCCUUGGCACACCGCCAUUGCUGUGUGGCAUUAUCCCUGCACCCUGUUACCAGGGAAAGUUUACCACAGACCAUUAGGGGUCCUGCUCAGCCAUUGGUCAGCACGGCAGUGGGCCCCGCCCACAGCAACCAGCUAUCAAGGAGUGCCCCUUAGUGGGCUCAUUCAGCCAACUCCAGUCAGGCAGAGUGGUGGUUUUCAGGUGGAAAAUCAGAGAGUAACAUUCCUUUGGUGGAGAUUUACAGAAACAUCGUUACCUGGCCAUGACCUGACCUCAAAAACAAAGGAUCUGACCCAAGAAGUUUGCAGUGACUAACUACACCUCUGCUUCACCUUUCCUAGAAAAGGGCUUUGCCGAAAGGUUUCAGGGAAUUUGGGGUUUUAAAGGCUUGAGCCUCCCAUCCGCUUGCAUGGCCCUGUAAUAAAAUUUCUCUGUUUCAAACUAUGACAUUUUGGUAUUGUUUGGCCUCACUGUGUGUCAGGCACAUGAGCUUACGUUUUGGUAAUACUAUGACCACAAGAUCUAGAUUGGUCAGAAAUAUGACCAAUGUGUGGUGAAGGUGAAUAAGAUGACUCAUUAUUUGAUGCCAGCAUUAGACAACCGAGAACUUCUCUCUUUGAAAGUCAUGGUGCUGUUGCUGUGAACUAUACCCUUUAGAAUUCAUUCUUCAUCUUCACCCUGGGCUUAGAUAACAAGGAAGAAAAAAAGGGCAAGAAGGAAAAUGAGC